ACCAUUAGGUGAUUCCUGAGCCAGUGGCUGCUUCUUGACAUUAUGUUUACUAGCCACCAACAGAUCUAUCCUUCAUUAGUUUAUGUAGUCUAUUUUGUAAUUGUUCAUAUUUAUGGCCCAAACAGUAUCAUCCAGCAUUGAGUUCCAUUGUGUAUUACUACACAGUACUUUUGCUUAUUUGUUCUAGACUUGCUGCCUCAUUGCUUCAUUGUGUUUGCCCUUUCAUUCUAAGCUUACAUCAAAUUGUAUUUACUAGCUUCACCUUCUUUUUUUAAGCUCCUUUUUGAAGUCUAAGUAGCCUGAACUGAGUGAAGAAAGACAGACGAGAUUGUAUAAUGAAUUUGUAUUAUUUUUGUUAUGGUUUCUGUCUGCACUUAGAGUAAAACAACUGGUAUUCUUACUGCAGCUGAACAUAAAGCAGGUGUUUUCACUGAGGUGUUCCUUUAUCCCAGGACUUCAGAUUCAUAGCACCUGAUGGUCUUUACUGAAGUGAGGAGAAAGAGGAAGGAAGUACAAGUGAGUUGGUGUUUUUACAGUGGGAGAAGAGGAACACAGAGGAGGUCUAGCUUUGCUAUCGGUGGGAAGUAGGUGCUUGCCUACUAAUUUCUUUUCUCCCUGAAAGUCUACAUUUGGCUAAUUCUUAUCUCUGACAGCGUUUGAACACCUAGAUGCCUAAAGAGUCUGAUGCUGGGAAAUUGCAGCCUGAGACUGAGGAGUGAUUAAUCACAGAUGGGGUUCUCGGUCUUGGUGCAUUUGGGGCCUGGAUGCUACCACAGAGUUGUCAGUAAUAUCAUGUUUGGGAACUCCAGGGUCACAGCUAUCCAAGAAAGUGAUUGCAGCCCUUCUGUUCCCAGUGUGUCUGUACCUGACUUCAUAUACGGCACCCUGAGAAGGAAAGAACUAUUAGAUUCCUGCUGGAAACAAGGCUUGAAAUGACUUGUAAGAGGACCAAACAAGAGCACAAUGGGCACUGCUGAGAAGAGUCUGGCUCCCUCUUCCUCAUUGCAUUUCAUCAGAAACCUCUCCUGAUUGCCAUGACCUUUGAAAGAUAAUCAAGAGUGGCCUCACAGUGACAUCAGCCACCUACCUCAGUACUCACAGGUGCAGCCCAUCAGGCUGUAGUCUACAGCAUCAUCUGAGGGAGAGUCCUAUAUCCUGGCUGUUCCUGACAUUUGUGCCUUGAUCGGUACUGCUGACUGCCAGCCUUCAGCAAGGUGAAGAUGC